CCCUUAGAUGUUCUGGGCUGCACGCGCGCUACACUGAAGCUAUCAACACGUUUUCCCUCCCUGAGAAGGGCGGGUAACCUUUUGAAUCAGCUUCGUGGUAGGGAUCGGGGCUUGCAAUUGUUCCCCGUGAACCAGGAAUUCCUAGUAGACGCGAGUCAUAAGCUAGCAUCGAUUAAGUCCCUGCCCUUUGUACACACCGCCCGUCGCUACUACCGAUUGAACGUUUUAGUGAGGCAUUUGGACCGACGCAUCUCAGUUUAACCGCUGGUUUGUGUUGGAAAGACUUCCAAACUUGAGCGUUUAGAGGAAGUAAAAGUCGUAACA
rnacentral:rRNA from 1 species